CCUACGGGGCGCAGCAGUGGGGAAUAUUGGACAAUGGGCGAAAGCCUGAUCCAGCCAUGCCGCGUGUGUGAAGAAGGCCUUCGGGUUGUAAAGCACUUUCAGUGGGGAAGAAAGCCUUGGGGCUAAUACCCUCGAGGAAGGACAUCACCCACAGAAGAAGCACCGGCUAACUCCGUGCCAGCAGCCGCGGUAAUACGGAGGGUGCGAGCGUUAAUCGGAAUUACUGGGCGUAAAGCGCGCGUAGGCGGUCUGAUAAGCCGGUUGGGAAAGCCCCGGGCCAACCUGGGAACGGCAUCCGGACCGGUAGGGCGGAAGUGCAGGGGAGGAAGGAAAAAUCCCGGGGGGAGUGGGGAAAGGCGGAGAGAUCGGGAGGAUUACCAGGGGCAAGGGCGCCCUUUGGGACUGACACGGACGCUGGGGUGCGAAAGCGUGGGAAGAAACCAGGAUUAGAUACACGGGUAGUC
rnacentral:rRNA from 1 species